GACGUAGGGGGCGAGCGUUAUCCGGAUUCACUGGGCGUAAAGGGCGCGCGGGCGGCUAUGUAAGUCCGGCGUGAAAUCCCAUGGCUUAACUGUGGAACUGCGUCGGAUACUGCAUUGGCUUGAGGGCGGUAGAGGCUUCUGGAACUAGCGGUGUAGCGGUGAAAUGCGCAGAUAUCGCUAGGAACGCCGGUGGCGAAGGCGGGAAGCUGGGCCGAUCCUGACGCUGAGGCGCGAAAGCUAGGGGAGCGAACCGG
rnacentral:rRNA from 1 species